CAGCGGGGAGCUCGCCAAGUACCAGGAGCGGGUGGCAGAGCUGGAGCGGGAGAUUGGCGAGGCCGAGCAGGAAAUGGCCCGGUGCCUGCGCGAGUACCCGGCACUGCUGCGGCUCCGCAUGGCCCUGGACGUGGAGAUCGCCGCGUACCGGGAGAUGCUGGAGGGGGAAGAGCUGCGCCUGGGCUCCACAGCCCCGUCAUGACCAGCCUGCCCUGCUCCAUGCGCUGGGGGCCUUGGACACCUGUGUCCCCCCGGACCCUGCACCUGGGGAGCCCUGAACUUGUGCUGGUGC